GUUAUCUGGCUGCUCAUCUUCCUUACUGAUCUUAUCUUGGUGUGUUCAGCUUCAAACUUUCCUUCUAUUGUCAGUCCCUUGCCAAGGGUACCAUUCCACACCCCUUUGAGAUCCAGCAAUAUGAAAUGAAAUGACACCAAGUCAGGUCAUUGCUGAAUUUUUCUUUGUGUUACUGAAGGAGUGUGGAUAGAAGGCAGGAAGAUAAUGUACUGCACUCUUCUUGAGGCCUCCCUUGUCCCGCUCCACUCCAUGAACUCAAGAUUCCAGUGUUAUCUGAGGUAAUGUGAGACCCUUAGUAGGGGUGUUCUUUGAAAUCCCCAGGUAAGGUAAAACCUCAUUUUGGCUGUAAUUUAAAAUCAGAUAUGUUAGUAAGCUGACAACUGAAACUCACUGUUUCUCCACCCUCUCGGAGAGUCCUAACAAACAGAAAUGUCCUAAAAUACAGGAAGCUGGGUGGAGGCCCAUCUCCAACAAGAUAAUCAACAACAGGUUCUGUUUCUUUGGUUCCUAGUACAAUGAAUAUUAGACAAGAGGGCAUUCGAACUAGGAGGGACAGAAUUGUGAAAUCUUUAUCCACAUAUCUGAAGUCCUGCUCUAAGUUAGGACUUGCUGCUGGGUGCUGAGAAUAUGAUGUAUCAGUCAGUGGGCCCUUGCUCAUGAAGGAUUUAUAAUCUACACAGGUGGACAUCAACAAAAAUAUGGUAACUGUACAAAGUAGCAUCAUUGAAAGAAUAAAAUAUGUGGUUCAGAGAACAGGAAGGUGAACUCACAGAGAAAUCAUGUACUUGGGCAAUGGUUUUAUAAAGAAUUGAAUUGGACCUGGAAAAUACAGAGAUAAGGGAGAUUUUAAAGUUUUUAUUUUCUGGGAAACAAUAAGAAAUUGAGGGGCUAGGGUUGUGGCUCAGAGGUAGAGUGCUCGCCUAGCAUGCACGAGGCACUGGGUUCGAUUCUCAGCACCACGUAAAUGUAAAAUAAAGAUAUUGUGUACACCUAAAACUUAAGAAUAAAUAUUAAAAAAAAAAAAAAAGAAAUUGAUCAAAUGGUUAGAAUGCCCAGGUAGGCCAGAAAGCCUACUUGGGCAACUUGGGCAAAAAUGGACAAGUUUUGCUGGGUGCGGCGGCACAUACCUUUAAUCCCAGUGGCUCAGGAGGCUGAGGCGGAGUUCAAAGCCAGCCUCAGCAAUGGUGAGGUACUUAACAACUCAGUGAGACCCUGUUUCUAAAUAAAAUACAAAAUAGGGCUUGGAUGUGGCUCAGUGGUUGAGUGCUCUUUAGUUCAAUCCCCAAUACCCCCUCCUGCCAAAAAAAAAAAAAAAAAAAAGAUCAAGUUUUAAGAGGAAGGGAGAGAAGCUUUGAGAAAUACAGUUGCUAAAUUUGGG
rnacentral:lncRNA from 1 species